AUACGGAGGAUCCGAGCGUUAUCCGGAUUUAUUGGGUUUAAAGGGAGCGUAGGUGGAUUGUUAAGUCAGUUGUGAAAGUUUGCGGCUCAACCGUAAAAUUGCAGUUGAAACUGGGAGUCUUGAGUACAGUAGAGGUGGGCGGAAUUCGUGGUGUAGCGGUGAAAUGCUUAGAUAUCACGAAGAACUCCGAUUGCGAAGGCAGCUCACUAGACUGUCACUGACACUGAUGCUCGAAAGUGUGGGUAUCAAACAGGAUUAGAUACCCUGGUAGUCCACACAGUAAACGAUGAAUACUCGCUGUUUGCGAUAUACAGUAAGCGGCCAAGCGAAAGCAUUAAGUACUCCACCUGGGGAGUACGCCGGCAACGGUGAAACUUAAAGGAAUUGACGGGG
rnacentral:rRNA from 1 species